UGAGGAAUAUUGGUCAAUGGGCGAGAGCCUGAACCAGCCAAGUAGCGUGCAGGAUGACGGCCCUAUGGGUUGUAAACUGCUUUUAUAUGGGAAUAAAGUGAGGGACGUGUCCCUUAUUGCAUGUACCAUACGAAUAAGGACCGGCUAAUUCCGUGCCAGCAGCCGCGGUAAUACGGAAGGUCCAGGCGUUAUCCGGAUUUAUUGGGUUUAAAGGGAGCGUAGGCUGUUUGUUAAGCGUGUUGUGAAAUGUAGGAGCUCAACUUUUAGAUUGCAGCGCGAACUGGCAGACUUGAGUGCGCACAACGUAGGCGGAAUUCAUGGUGUAGCGGUGAAAUGCUUAGAUAUCAUGACGAACUCCGAUUGCGAAGGCAGCUUACGGGAGCGCAACUGACGCUAAAGCUCGAAGGUGCGGGUAUCGAACACG
rnacentral:rRNA from 1 species